rnacentral:rRNA from 1 species
AUUGAACGCUGGCGGCAUGCUUUACACAUGCAAGUCGGACGGCAGCACAGAGAAGCUUGCUUCUUGGGUGGCGAGUGGCGAAGGGGUGAGAAAUAUAUCGGACCGGACCGUGUAACUGGGGUAAACUAGUCGAAAGAUUAGCAAAUACCGCUAAUUCUUUGAGGAGGAAAGCUGGGGACCUACGGGCCUUUCGUUAUUCGAGCGGCGGUGAUCUGAUUAGCUAGUUGGUGGGGUAAAGGCCUACCAAGGCGACGAUCAGUAGCGGGUCUGAGAGGAUGAUCGGCCACACUGGGACUGAGACACGGCCCAGACUCCUACGGGAGGCAGCAGUGGGGAAUUUUGGGCAAUGGGCGAAAGCCUGAUCCAGCCAUGCCGCGUGUCUGAAGAAGGCCUUCGGGUUGUAAAGGACUUUUGUCAGGGAAGAAAAGGCUGUUGCUAAUACCGACAGCUGAUGACGGUACCUGAAGAAUAAGCACCGGCUAACUACGUG